rnacentral:rRNA from 1 species
AGUGAACGCUGGCGGUAGGCCUAACACAUGCAAGUCGAACGGCAGCACAGUAAGAGCUUGCUCUUACGGGUGGCGGGUGGCGGACGGGUGAGGAAUACAUCGGAAUCUACUUUUUCGUGGGGGAUAACGUAGGGAGACUUACGCUAAUACCGCAUACGACCUACGGGUGAAAGCAGGGGAUCUUCGGACCUUGCGCGAUUGAAUGAGCCGAUGUCGGAUUAGCUAGUUGGCGGGGUAAAGGCCCACCAAGGCGACGAUCCGUAGCUGGUCUGAGAGGAUGAUCAGCCACACUGGAACUGAGACACGGUCCAGACUCCUACGGGAGGCAGCAGUGGGGAAUAUUGGACAAUGGGCGCAAGCCUGAUCCAGCCAUACCGCGUGGGUGAAGAAGGCCUUCGGGUUGUAAAGCCCUUUUGUUGGGAAAGAAAAGCAGCAGGUUAAUACCCCGCUGUUCUGACGGUACCCAAAGAAUAAGCACCGGCUAACUUCGUG